GCCUUUCCCAAAAUCCCAAAUCAUCAACUACGCCCAAAUCUUGUUCCAAAAUCAAACACGGAUUAGUUCCUUUGGCGACAAUGAUCCUCCAGUUUGGCAACAAUGAUAACAUGCAAGGGCGCUUGAUCAAAGCGGUGGGUAACCCAAAUCAUGAUUUGUCUCUCCGUUAUAACUGCCCCAGAUCGUGGACCUCCAUCACCGUCGAUCAGUUGCUUGGCCUCUCGUCAGACUCUAUUUAUUGCCGGUAGUCUGUUGCCUCGACUUUGCGAUUUGCUCUUCAGAUCCGCUUCCCAUUCAAACAUGACACCUUAAGGCUUAAAGCACUGGUACAUCAUGGCUUUUCUGAUGCCCCGGACAACAGUUCUGAUGCAGCCACACAUCUUCCUUUAGCCAUGUAUAGACCUACAAGAAGCAUCAACUC